rnacentral:rRNA from 1 species
UAAAACCAUAAAUAAAUCAAAACUUUCAACAACGGAUCUCUUGGUUCUGGCAUCGAUGAAGAACGCAGCAAAAUGCGAUAAGUAAUGUGAAUUGCAGAAUUCAGUGAAUCAUCGAAUCUUUGAACGCACAUUGCGCCCGCCAGUAUUCUGGCGGGCAU